UUUAAGUCAAAUGAAUAAUUUAAAUCAAUUUACAUUCACUUUCGAUUAUUGCAUAAAAUCAAUAUUUAACAUGAAAGGCCUGGUUUACAUUUUACUUUUUAGUUUAAUAGCUUUGUUUUUUGCUAUAUGUUCAUUGGCCGCAGAACUAUUGAUGGUAUUUACUCAUGAUUGUUCGAGUAAAACCAGCUAGCCCGAAUCAUGUAUAUUGAACUUCACUAUAUUACAGAAUUUUUCUUUGCAAAUUUAAUUAAAAGUGCCAAUUAUCUUAUCAAAAUAUAUUUUAUAAUUUCAUGUUUACACUGUUAACAAGUUUUUCAUCAAAAGUUUUUCGUCAUUAAUAUAAUUUGUUUACAAAUA